UGCAUAAGCUUUUGAAAAUAUAGCAAUAUAAACCAUCUUCAUACUCUACAGUUCCCUCUGCUACUUCAUAUUACUAACCAUGUCUUCCUGCACCAACUGUGACUGCUUCGACAAGACCAGAUGCGCCAAGGAAGGAAGCGAGUAUGGUGUGACCAUGGUCGAGAACGUGGACACUAUUGUCAUGGAGGUUCCUGCAGCCGAGAACGAUGGCAAAUGCAAGUGUGGUGCUAACUGCAGCUGCACCAACUGCACAUGUGGUCACUAAACCAACCACACAAUACAACCGAAACUCCAAUAGCUAAUGUUAGUCUAUGGUUAAAUAAAACCACACGAUGGUGAGUCUCUUACGACUAGUUUCGAGUUAAAAAAAGGCGAGUGUAGGUCGAGUCUGUGUAUGAUGGCCACGCUUACGUGGCCAUGGCCCAUGGUUAAAUGAAAAAUACUUACCGUUGUUGAAGGUAAUACAGGCUUCUCA